CAUCCCCGGAUGGCCCUCCCACGACCCCUCCCGCCUGGCCCUCAGCAUCCCGGGGUGGCCAUCCGGAGUCCCACGCCUGUGCCUGGCUCUAGCAUCUGUGUUGCCCUCCCAUAUCCUCUCCAGAGUGGUCCUCAGCAUCCCCGGGUUGCCCUCCCACUUGGCCCUCAACAUCUAGCAACUCUUCCCGGGAGGUCCUUCGAAGCCUCCGCUUGAGUGGUCCUUGGCAGCCAGGUGGAGGACCCAGGUGGGCCUCCGGAGGCCCAUGCCGUGCAUCCCUGGGAAGCACUCCUGCCACCCUUCCAGAGUAGCCCUCGACAUCACGGAUGGCCCUCCUGCGACCCCUCUGGAGUGGUAGUUGGCAACCUCCAGUGACUCUCUCCAGGCCCACACCUUCUUGGACCGCAGCACCCGUUGACUGGCUCAGUGCUCUCAGCACCCCUGGAUGGACCUCUCACCUGGCCUUUCGGCAUGCCUGGAAGGCCCUCUCAAGACCCCUCCCGAAUGACCCCUCCUGGCCCUCAGCAUCCAUGGGCCUCUCAACCCUAUACCCACCUAGCCUUUGGCAUCCCCAGGUGGCCCUCCAGAGAGUUCCCUCCUAAGAGGCCCUCAGCAUACCUGGGUCAAUGUGGGCCCUCUUAGGGCUCCCUGGGAGCGUCAAAGUGCCCUUGGGUCCUUGUGUGAGUUCCCUGCACCCCUACAGGGUCCUUUCCAAAUCUUGUAGGUCCUUAGUGUGUCUGUUUCUCAUCUUUCGACGUCCUUGGUCAUCCCAUCAUGACUACCCUCCCAUGAGGCAGGCAUGUCCUGAACUGCCAGGCCUCGGUGGACAUUCCCUUCUCCCCUGUAUUUCCUCCUACAGGCCUCAGCUGAAGGUGAGAUCACAUAAGCCUCUCCCCAGCCACAGACGACCCCCAGCUUGAGGGCUGCAGCUGAGGAGGGUCGUCUGUGGAGGAAGGCUGCUCUUUGUGGCAUUCACAAGCAUUUGUGACUGUGGGCCUGCUUUGGUGCUCAUCUGAGGUCUGUGGGGAGUGGGGUGCUUAGACAUUACCCCAAAGGCGGAGGACAAAAGGGUGGUGUCCCUGAUGGACUCCUGUCCCUACCAUGGUUGGGAGGUGAGGAGGAGCUGAUGGGGUUCUGGUUGAGUCUGAGCACUGUGGGUUACUUUGACAAUGGAAGUCUAUGACUGCCGAAAAUUGUCCUGUUUGAGGUGCAUCCUUGUAGAAUGUAGAGUACAGUAAAUGGAGCUCAGGAAGCACUGUGGGCCAAUAUGUGAGGUUUGGGCAUGCAGUAAGGGGAUCAGGGCUAAUUCAUUCUAGGCAAGGAAUCUGCAUGAUGCUUGGAUCCAACCCAGGAAGGGUCUCCCUGAAUGCUGAGAGGUGGAAAACAUCAGAUCUCAGAGUUCGAAGUCACCCUGGUCUGCAUAGUAAAUUCCAGGACAGCCAGAGCUACAUAGGCCCCAUCUCAAAACAGCAACAACAGAAAGGUCUUCGCCACCUCCCUGAAUGCUGUGAGGGAAGAGAAGAGAAACCACCUAGCUCAGGCCAGCAGAUCUAGUGGCAAAGGGACUCAGAAGAAUGACUCAAGCCGCUCGCCAGGAGAGCUGCUUGUACAGUAGAGGCACUGGUGUAGGUGACCACGUCAAGGAAUCUGAAAGGAAUACUUUUCACAAGGGAGGCACAGGGCAGGUAAAAAUCCAGCAGAGAAGAAAACACAAUAGGAAAGAAGACUCCAUCACAGGAGGGCUUCACCUUCCAGGAGCCUAGCAAUGCAGAGACAGCGGGAGCUCAUUUACUCAACAACAAAGCACAAAGAGGGAGAAGACAAAACUAUCAAUGGAACCCAUUCAACUUAUUUCCUGAGUAUCUCAUGCUACAAACAAUGUCAGACGCAGAGGGUCACGCAGUAUCUACCACAUAGCAGAAGUGGUGAAAGGAGCACUAAGUAACAUGCCGUAAGCCGUCUCAAGACAAUGCUGACAACGAAAGCACGGACACACAAGGAGAAGGCGCUGCCAUCUCAUGAAGGACUCUGUUGUCUUGUGGAAUUUGUGUUCUGCCUCUGGGUGCUGUGAUGACCUGAGCCGACCUGUUGAAGGCGAUCCCUCUGGCUGCUGUGUGUGAAGGAUGAGAGAAGCAGCCCAGCCUAUGGCACCUAGUCCUAGAGGCAGGAAAUCAAAAGUAUUCAGGUCGGCCAUAACCAAGUCUUCCUGAAGCCUGUGGGGGAGGAGGGAGUCGGUGCCAUGCUCCAGCACAUCAGUGUGGCACACAUCAUCUGAGCUCUGUCCCGUGUGUCACUGAACUCUAAGGAUUAUUGAAACGACUUUUCAGGGAAAAAAAAAAAAAAAAAAAAAGGAAAAGAAAACCAAAACAUGAGAAAGGAGUACUGGGUGUGGUGGCGGCAGCCUUUAAUACCAGUCCUGGGAAGUAGAGGGAGGCAGAGCUCUGUGAGUUUGAGGUCAGCCUGCUCUACAUAGUGAGUUUUGGGACAGCCAGUGAUAGUACACAGACUCAAUCGCUAACUCCCCUCCCCCCCCAAAAAAAAGGAAUAAGGAGCGCUCCUCCCUCCAUGGUCUUAGCUGAGCUGUGAGUGGAAGUGGCCUGAGGCUACCAGACAAGCUGUGUUUUCUAGGGAUAGAGAACUAGAGUGAUGGGACUAGCUAAGAUCAUAAGUGAGUCCCAGAUGUCAGAUUUACAUUGUUUAAUUUUGGUUUUGCUUUGAUUUGACUAUACC